AUGGCGCCGCCCAACCGGAGAGGUGGCAGCGGCCGGAAGAAGACCGUCAUCCGCCGGAUCGAGCAGAAGGAUGCCCGGCACAUCAGCUACUCCAAGCGCCGCAGGGGGUUCUUCACCAAGGCCAGCGAUCUGGCGGUCCUCACCGGCGCCCAGGUGGCCGCCCUCGCCUUCUCGCCCGGCGGCAACGUCUUCUCCUUCGGCCACCCCUCCAUCGACUCC
rnacentral:rRNA from 1 species